GGGAGAACCACGCCGGCUUGGUACAGAGUCCGUCUCGCUCAUCCCAGAACAAUUAUAUAGUUUCUCCUCUAAUGUUACAGAGUGAGGAACGGGCUGAUCCCAGAACAGUUUUAUAGUUUCUCCUCUAAUAUUACAUAUUACGGUGUGACGAACGAACUGAUCCCAGAACAAUAUUAUAGUUUCUCCUCUAAUGUUACAGACUACAGAGCGAGGAACGGGCUGAUCCCAGAACAGUUUUAUAGUUUCUCCUCUAAUGUUAUGGAGUGAGGAACGAUCUGAUCCCAGAGCAGUUUUAUAGUUUCUUCUCUAAUGUUACAGAUUACAGUGAGGAAUGAGCUGAUCCCAGAACAGUUUUAUAGUUUUUCCUCUAAUGUUACAGACUACAGAGCGAGGAACGAGCUGAUCCCCGAACAGUUUUAUAGUUUCUCCUCUAAUAUUACAGAUUACAGUGUGAGGAACGGGCUGAUUCCAGAACAGUUUUAUAUUUUCUCCUCUAAUAUUACAGAUUACGGAGUGAGGAACAGGCUGAUCCCAGAACAGUUUAAUAAUUUCUCCUCUAAUAUUACAGAGUGAGGAACAGGCUGAUCCCAGAACAGUUUAAUAAUUUCUCCUCUAAUGUUACAGUGUGAGGAACAGGCUGAUCCCAGAACAGUUUUAUAGUUUCUCCUAUAAUAUUACAGAUUACAGAGUGAGGAACGAGCUGAUCCCAGAACAGUUUUAUAGUUUCUCCUCUAAUGUUACAGAUUACAGAGUGAGGAACGGGCUGAUCCCAGAACAGUUUUAUCGUCUCUCCUCUAAUAUUGCAGAUUACAGAAUAACUGUUUGGACAGAGAGAAAGUUAUUAUUUUAUCUGUCUGCCACAGUAUAUUAGAGCACUCAAAGUGCUGACUUUCAGCUUUAACUGAAGGGUAUAUUCAUGCACAUCGGGUGAAGGGUGUACCAAUCACAGCGGUGCAUUGAGUCAUUGUCCAUCUGCGCAAUUUUAUUUCGGAGAAUUUGGCUGAAUCUGAGCUGAUAAUUUGGCCCUAUAGACUUCAUCCAUAAAUACAAGGGAAUUUCAUUAACAGUUUCAUUAACACGCCCACGCCGUAAGAUGAGAUAGUACGCGUCAGCUCACGACCGCUCCCUUCCCUUCACCCUACUCUUCUCUUCCUAUUAUUAUUCUGCUAAAAGCUGAUCUUCGUCUCAUCCGCCCGUAGGAUGUUGUUCAGAACUGUACAGGUGAUUGUGGCCAACUCUAAUCUGGUCUUCCUGUUUUUGAGGCUUACCAGCGGUGUUCAUCUCGUAGUAAACCGUCUGUAUUUACCCCGGCGAAGACUUCUCUGGAUUGUUGACUUUCACGCCGAUACUUUAACACCGCCUCCCUCCUGGAGAGUGUUCUUGUCAUCCAGCACCGUUGUUUUCUGGGGUCUUCUGGAACUUUUGGUAUUCCUGAGCUCACCAGUGCGUUCUUUCUGUUUGUUUUUGUUUUUUUUUAAAAGAGCAUACCAAAAUAGUUGAUUUGGCUAGACCUAAUGUAUGUGCUGUCUCUCCGAUGGGUAUGUUUUUGAUCUAUUUUUAGAUUAUUUAUUUUUCGCUUCACUGGCAUCGGCGGCUCUUUGGACGGGACAGAAUCCCGCUUCUGCUUACUUCUAAGUGAAAUAAUGAAGGAAGAACACGCACCUGGCCACGGUACGGCUGAGCCUGCUGUGAAAACCAUAACACCCAUAAUAUAUAUAUAUAAAUAUAUACACACAUAUGGGCGCUCGUUUGGAGCCAUGGAGUGUCAGGGGGCAGAGUGCAGGAGAAGCAGAGCGCCCGCGAGUGUGUCACGGCCGAAGGUGUCUGCGGCGUGUGUCUAAUUGAGCUGCGUGUAGUUAAUUGUUUGUACAUAGGAGGGGAGAAAUCAAUCUGUUUUCUUACUGUCAUGACUCCUGGGCCCCGGGGUGAUGGACUAGAUCUGGCACGGACACUGGGAAGGCCUGCCAAGUGAAGCUCCGUACGCAGCCUUUCUCCCUCAGCGUACACACACACACACACACACACACACUCGCAUACAAAUACACACUGUUGUGUAUGCAUACUAUACACUAACGCACAACACACACACACACACACUGUCGCUGGAGUGAAGUUAGCUCCAUCGAUCUAGAAGCCCGGAACCUGAGCUCUGGGAGAGGCGAGAGAAGAGAAGAGUGUGUGUGUGUGUGUGUGUGUGUAUUCACACCGAACCCCCCUCUGACUCGGAGAGGCUUUCAGUGCAUCGUAUGAAGAGGAGCUGAACAGAAGAGAAGAUAUUGCAUUAGUCGCAGCUUUCGCCCGUCAGGACAAAUCCGUUUUACGCGCUCAAGGCGCCAGCGAUGCUCUGCAGGCGCGUAUUCAUCUCGGCGCGCCCCGCAAAUCGGUUUAACGUCACCGGGUAAUACAUCAGCCCGGCUAAAGCAGAUAGAUGAUAGGCUUCAGCGCUAAACAAAUGGUGCUGGUCAUAAUUCAUACAUAAACGCUGCGUUUGGUUAAAAAAAAAAAAAAAAAAAAAAAAAGGAUCCUGUGCUAAACAUCCUGCGUUUAGGAAUACUCUGUGUUUAACUCCUCCCAGAAUUUUGAUCGUGGGCGUAGGAGACGUUAUACCUGGUGGGGG
ensembl:lncRNA